rnacentral:lncRNA from 1 species
GAUACUUCCCCGUUAAUCUACCCCCAAGGUUCGUGUUCAAACAGUCGCCGACUUCCCUUUUUAAACCUUUUAACUUUUUUAACGAAAAAUUUGGAUCACUGGAUGACACGAGCGGAAUCACCCGAUCAUAUUCAUCUUCACUAGGUCUCAAGAUGGCUGUUCAUUGUGAGGAAAAAUGGAGAAACAUGGAUUUGACGAGUUCAUCUCAUCAUUUGCAACAGCUUCAGCCAUUGUUUAUAGUGAUUACUUUAACUGGGAGCUUUGUGUGUUAAUAGGGAUCUUGGGGCGGACCUGUUUCGGAUCUUGUUAAAUUUUAUAAGAACUAUCUUAAAGAUUUGAACAAAAAGGUAUCCAGUCAACCAAACAAAACAAGCCUGUCCGGUUUACCGAAUCCUCUGUCCGUUCAUUUACCCACAAUUAAUAAUAAUAUUACAUUUUCCCACCUUUAAUAAUUUUACCCAAUCCGGUCGCCUCUUCGCCAUCUCUUUCCUAGCAAAGUUGGAGGAACUCCUGUACACUCACACUCACAUUCGGAAUAUUCUUUUUUUUUGGGUGAUUUAGGUUUGGCCGAAUCCAAUCAACUUACCAUCUGGUAAAUCAUGUCUGUGACAUCUGUGGUCUACCUCUUCAGUACUUGCUUCAGGUGUUUCUAACAUUUUAUCUUACUCGUAAUUUUUCCAACAUUAGUUUAUUCUUUAGUACAUAAUGAAUUGUGACUUUUGAGUCGAACCCCCCGCUUAUUUUGAUAUAAAGAUGUCGUAGGAUAUGCUUCUCAAGUUUUGUUUUUUUAUUUUUAAUUUAAAUUAGCUUGUGGGGUUAAGUUAAUUAUUAGCUAUAAAUAGGGAUAAGCAUCUCUAUUACUUUUGUAAUCUUUUCUGAACUUUUUUUCUUCAUCAAGGAAUACUAAGCGGGCCAACUAUUUCGUUAUUCUUCUUGUUCUUGUUUUGACUGUAAAGAAAGAUUGAGUUUAUUUCUGGUCUUGUUACAGCUGGAAUUCCAAUGGAAAAUAUUCUAUAUCUCGGUGGACCAAAUAUCGCAUCAGAAAUAUAUAAUAAGGAGUAUGCAAAUGCAUGGAUAUGUGGACCAGAGAAAUGGAGGAAACCACUAGCCAAGUUUCUAAGGUAACCGCACUUUACUGUAUGGGAUAACGGUGAUCUUUUCUCUCAUGAAGUGAUGGGUGGGUUAAAGAAUGUCUAUGCCAUUGGAGCUGGAACACUCAGCUGAGGUUUCAAUUUAUAGUAAUGAAUCGGUGAAGCACAUGCAAGUUUCUUUUAAGUUUUGUUAAUUAUUUUUAUUUUUAUUUUUAUUUAGAAGCAUCAAGAAACCUCACUAUAUUCACUUUUUAAGUAUCAACAAUGCGUGUACAUUGAGCUAAUAUGUUGUGCUUUCUCUAUCUUUUCUGAAUUCAUAUUAACAUUUUAAUUUUAUUGUCUUU